GACGAACGCUGGCGGCGUGCUUAACACAUGCAAGUCGAACGGAAAGGCCCUGCUUUUGUGGGGUGCUCGAGUGGCGAACGGGUGAGUAACACGUGAGUAACCUGCCCUUGACUUUGGGAUAACUUCAGGCAACUGGGGCUAAUACCGGAUAGGAGCUCCUGCUGCAUGGUGGGGGUUGGAAAGUUUCGGCGGUUGGGGAUGGACUCGCGGCUUAUCAGCUUGUUGGUGGGGUAGUGGCUUACCAAGGCUUUGACGGGUAGCCGGCCUGAGAGGGUGACCGGCCAAAUUGGGACGGAGAUACGGCCCAGACUCCUACGGGAGGCAGCAGUGGGGAAUAUUGCACAAGGGGCGGAAGCCUGAUGCAGCAACGCCGCGUGCGGGAUGACGGCCUUCGGGUUGUAAACCGCUUUCGCCUGUGACGAAGCGUGAGUGACGGUAAUGGGUAAAGAAGCACCGGCUAACUACGUG
rnacentral:rRNA from 1 species